UACGUAGGGGGCAAGCGUUGUCCGGAAUUAUUGGGCGUAAAGAGCUCGUAGGCGGCCUGUCGCGCCGGCUGUGAAAACCCGGGGCUCAACCCCGGGCCUGCAGUCGAUACGGGCAGGCUAGAGUCCGGUAGGGGAGACUGGAAUUCCUGGUGUAGCGGUGAAAUGCGCAGAUAUCAGGAGGAACACCGGUGGCGAAGGCGGGUCUCUGGGCCGGAACUGACGCUAAGGAGCGAAAGCGUGGGGAGCGAACAGG
rnacentral:rRNA from 1 species